GCAUGGCCGAAUUCUGUGUUACUUUGCACGUAGUAAAUACAGUCAGACACCAUGCUAAAUUACUGUUUUUCACAAACUGACUUGACUAGAUCAGAGUGCUCCUUAUGUGCCUUGUUCUUAUGUCAGAGUGACAACAAUU